UUCAUUUUAAGGACUCUUUCCAUUCAUUUCAACAGCCUCUGGGCAGGCUUUUCAGUGUUCCUCUAUUCCUAUCAUUAUUCUCCAUCUAUAUACCAGUGCAGGACACCUUCCCCUUGCCCACCAGCUGCAGGCAGAAAAACCAACACCAGAGUCGUGAAGAGUGAUCUGAGCUUACAAAACAAACAGGAGUCUGAGUGUGCUGAGGGAUCUACACUCAAACAAUUGGGACCCUCAGGUGAUUGCAAAAUUUGGAGGCUCAUUAUGUCCUCUCUCAGUCCAGGAGCUUCCACCCACGCUUGUGUGUUGAAGGCAAUAAGGGUGGGGAUGACAAGGAACAGGGGAAGCAAAAAUAAUCCCCCUGAACAAUGUUUUUUUGGGGAAUGAAAACUUGACAUUCUGCGGCGGGUACCAUCCUCCAGCAAAACUACAGCAACGAGGUUGUCAAGAUAAGAGAACCCCAAGCCAGCGAGCAACUAAAUAAAU